rnacentral:rRNA from 1 species
UACGGAGGGGGCUAGCGUUGUUCGGAAUUACUGGGCGUAAAGCGCGCGUAGGCGGAUCUGCAAGUCGGGGGUGAAAUCCCGAGGCUCAACCUCGGAACUGCCUUCGAUACUGCGGGUCUCGAGUCCGGGAGAGGUGAGUGGAAUUCCCAGUGUAGAGGUGAAAUUCGUAGAUAUUGGGAAGAACACCAGUGGCGAAGGCGGCUCACUGGCCCGUAACUGACGCUGAGGUGCGAAAGCGUGGGGAGCAAACAGG